rnacentral:rRNA from 1 species
UACGUAGGGUCCGAGCGUUGUCCGGAAUUAUUGGGCGUAAAGAGCUCGUAGGCGGUUUGUCGCGUCUGCUGUGAAAUCCCGAGGCUCAACCUCGGGCCUGCAGUGGGUACGGGCAGACUGGAGUGCGGUAGGGGAGAAUGGAAUUCCUGGUGUAGCGGUGGAAUGCGCAGAUAUCAGGAGGAACACCGAUGGCGAAGGCAGUUCUCUGGGCCGUAACUGACGCUGAGGAGCGAAAGCGUGGGAGCGAACAGG